CCUGAUGGUAAAGCCGCGAAUGGCUCAUUACAACAGCCACAGUUUAUUGGGUCUCCAUUUACUUGGAUAACUGAGCUAAUUGUUGAGCUAAUACACGCACCAAAGCUUCGACCUCACGGGAGGAGCGCAUUUAUUAGAACAAAACCAAUCGGACUUCGGUCCGUCCAUUGGUGAAUCUAAAUAACUUAGCCGAUCGCAUGGUCUCGCACCGGCGACUCACCUUUCAAAUGUCUGCCUUAUCACCUUUCGAUGGUAGUUUAUACGCCUACCAUGGGUUUUACGGGUAACGGAGAAUAAGGGUUCGACUCCGGAGAGGGAGCCUGAGAAACGGCUACCACAUCCAAGGAAGGCAGCAGGCACGCAAAUUACCCACUCCCGGCACGGGGAGGUAGUGACGAAAAAUAACGAGGCGGUUCUCUAUGAGGCCCGCCAUCGGAAUGGGUACAAUCUAAAUCCUUUAACGAGGAACUAUUGGAGGGCAAGUCUGGUGCCAGCAGCCGCGGUAAUUCCAGCUCCAAUAGCGUAUAUUA
rnacentral:rRNA from 1 species